rnacentral:misc_RNA from 1 species
UACGUAGGUGGCAAGCGUUGUCCGGAAUUAUUGGGCGUAAAGCGCGCGUAGGUGGCUUGAUAAGCCGGUUGUGAAAGCCCCCGGCUCAACCGGGGAGGGCCAUUGGAAACUGGGAGGCUUGAGUAUAGGAGAGAAGAGUGGAAUUCCACGUGUAGCGGUGAAAUGCGUAGAGAUGUGGAGGAACACCAGUGGCGAAGGCGACUCUUUGGCCUAUAACUGACGCUGAGGCGCGAAAGCGUGGGGAGCAAACAGG